AGGUUUAUGCAUAAGGUCAUGCGCAGUAUAUUAAAGACGCCCGUCANGGNUUGAACAUGNAUGGACCUGCGGCGCAUUAGCUAGUUGGUGAGGUAACGGCCCACCAAGGCGAUGAUGCGUAGCCGGCCUGAGAGGGUAAACGGCCACAUUGGGACUGAGACACGGCCCAAACUCCUACGGGAGGCAGCAGUAGGGAAUUUUCGUCAAUGGGGGAAACCCUGAACGAGCAAUGCCGCGUGAGUGAAGAAGGUCUUCGGAUCGUAAAGCUCUGUUGUAAGUGAAGAACGGCUCAUAGAGGAAAUGCUAUGGGAGUGACGGUAGCUUACCAGAAAGCCACGGCUAACUACGUGCCAGCAGCCGCGGUAAUACGUAGGUGGCAAGCGUUAUNCCGGAAUCAUUGGGCGUUAAAGGGUNGCGUAGGUGGGCGUACUAAGUCUGUAGUAAAAAGGCAAUGGCUCAAACCAUUGUAAGCUAUGGAAACUGGUAUGCNUGGAGUGCAGAAGAGGGCGAUGGAAUUCCCAUGUGUAGCGGUAAAAUGCGUAGAUAUAUGGAGGAACACCAGUGGCGAAGGCGGUCGCCUGGUCUGUAACUGACACUGAGGCACGAAAGCGUGGGGAGCAAAUAGGAUUAGAUACCCCUAGUAGUCCACGCCGUAAACGAUGAGAACUAAGUGGUUUGGAGGAAUUCAGUGCUGCAGUUAACGCAAUAAGUUCUCCGCCUGGGGAGUAUUGCACGCAAGUUGUGAAACUCAAAGGAAUUGACGGGGGCCCGCACAAGCGGUGGAGUAUGUGGUUUAAUUCGAAGCAACGCGAAGAACCUUACCAGGCCUUGACAUGGAANCAAAUACNCUAGAGAUAGGGGGAUAAUUAUGGAUCACACAGGUGGUGCAUGGUUGUCGUCAGCUCGUGUCGUGAGAUGUUGGGUUAAGUCCCGCAACGAGCGCAACCCUUGUCGCAUGUUACCAGCAUCAAGUUGGGGACUCAUGCGAGACUGCCGGUGACAAACCGGAGGAAGGUGGGGAUGACGUCAAAUCAUCAUGCCCCUUAUGGCCUGGGCUACACACGUACUACAAUGGCGGCCACAAAGAGCAGCGACACAGUGAUGUGAAGCGAAUCUCAUAAAGGUCGUCUCAGUUCGGAUUGAAGUCUGCAACUCGACUUCAUGAAGUCGGAAUCGCUAGUAAUCGCAGAUCAGCAUGCUGCGGUGAAUACGUUCUCGGGCCUUGUACACACCGCCCGAANAAAGCCAUGGGAGUCAGUAAUACCCGAAGCCGGUGGCAUAACCGUAAGGAGUGAGCCUCGAAGUAGACC
rnacentral:rRNA from 1 species